rnacentral:rRNA from 1 species
AACGAACGUUAGCGGCGCGCUUAACACAUGCAAGUCGCACGAGAAAGGGCUUCGGCCCCGGUACAGUAGCGCACGGGUGAGUAACACGUGGGUAAUCUUCCCUCGGGCGGGGGAUAACAUUCCGAAAGGAGUGCUAAUACCGCAUAAGACCACGGCUUCGAAAGGAGCUGAGGUCAAAGCCGGCCUCUAUUCAUAAGCUGGCACCUGAGGAUGAGCCCGCGGCCCAUCAGCUAGUUGGUAGGGUAAUGGCCUACCAAGGCAAAGACGGGUAGCUGGUCUGAGAGGAUGAUCAGCCACACUGGAACUGAGACACGGUCCAGACUCCUACGGGAGGCAGCAGUGGGGAAUCUUGCGCAAUGGGCGAAAGCCUGACGCAGCGACGCCGCGUGAGUGAUGAAGGCCUUCGGGUUGUAAAGCUCUGUGGGGAGAGACGAUGGGGAAAUGGUGAUAAGCCUUUUCCUCCAGACGGUACCUUCAAAGGAAGCCCCGGCUAAUUCCGUGCCAGCCGCCGCGGUAAGAC